AACUAGUACAAGAAUUAUUGGCAUUCGGUUAAAUCGAAUCGGGUACCCCCAUAAGCGGGUUCGAUCCGACGGAUAUUAUGUUAUCUAAUUGGAUUGGAAUUAAUCUCGCUUUCAAAUUGGAAAGCUAGUUAGAGAUAAAUCCUAGUCAUAGUAGGAUAACAAUUAAUAACCGAUUUGGCCUUAUCUCUAACGCUAUUAGAAUUUUGGAAUCCCUUAUAAAUAUGCGGGCCAUCCCACAUAACAAAAAUAACAAGAACGGAAAAAAAAAAGAGAAUAAGAAAACGAAAGAGAGAAACCACAUCCUCCAUCAACCUAUUAUUCUAAGAGGGACUUGAACGGUGGGUUUGUGAUCGUGCUCGUUUGUAGUUCGAUCCAUCGCAAGUUUGGAACGUGAGAAGAUUUAAUCAAGGACGAUCAAAGGACACGUGAAUCAACCUCGACGAUCCGGGCUCAUCGAGUUGUAACGCGAAUCGCUUCCGAAAAAGGUACGAACUAAUAUUUUCGCUGCGUUCUACAUUGGUAUCAGAGCGUUUUUUGGUUGAUUUCGUGGCCUAGAUCAAUCCUUUAACGAGAUUACAUGUGUUAAAUCAAAUCUAUCAUGUUUUAGAUUUUUUCUUGCAUGUAUGUGAGCGUUAAUGGUGGUUUUUUUCAUAAGUGGAUAUCUUUGCAUGUUUUUUACACAUCUUGAAGCACCGAAAUUGUAGAUUUUACCUACAAAGUUUGAUUUGAUAUG
rnacentral:lncRNA from 1 species